GACGAACGCUGGCGGCGGGCUUAACACAUGCAAGUCGAACGGAAAGGCCCUGCUUUUGUGUGGUGCUCGAGUGGCGAACGGGUGUGUAACCCGUGAGUCACCUGGCCUUGACGUUGGGAUGACUUCAGGAAACUGGGGCUAAUACCGGCUAGGAGCUCCUGCUGCAUGGGGGGGGUUGGAAAGUUUCGGCGGUUGGGGAUGGACGCGCGGGUUAUCAGCUUGUUGGUGGGGUAGUGGCUUACCAAGGCUUUGACGGGUAGCCGGCAUGGGAGCGUGGACGGCGACAUUGGGACUGAGAUACGGAGCAGACUCCUACGGGGGGCAGCAGUGGAGAAUAUUGCACAAUGAGCGGAAGCCUGAGGCAGAAACGCCGCGUGCGGGAAGACGGCCUUCGGGUUGUAAACCGCUUUCGCCUGUGACGAAGCGUGAGUGACGGUAAUGGGUAAAGAAGCACCGGCUAACUACGUG
rnacentral:rRNA from 1 species